rnacentral:lncRNA from 1 species
GAGCUUUGGGGGGCGGGGCCUUGGCUCUGCUCCCGCUGAGCGCCGCCCGCAGGCUGGAUCCCCUGUACGCGAGCGCGCGCGCGCUCUGGCUGCUAGUGGCAAUGGCUGCACUGGGCUUGCUAGUCCACUUCCUCCCUGGCACACUACGGGCUGCGCUCUUCAGAUGGCUCCAGGUGCUCCUGCCGAUGGCCUGAGGCGAAGGACCUCCAAGUCAGCAGAACUGGAGAUCUUCGAACUAAACGCUGGGGCGCCCACCUCCGAAUCCCAAUUUCUAAUUAAAGUUUCCACGAAG